rnacentral:lncRNA from 1 species
CCGCGCCCUGGUGACAGCUCGCGCGUGCUGAUGAUGGCGGAGUGAUGCAGACUGCAAUGUCUGGGGGCCGCUGAGAGGUUCAGCAGGGAAGGGCGCUGGCCGCCAGCCCACCCACCUGAUUCACUCCUUGGAACCCACAUGGGGCAGAACACACAAUCGAGGGAGAGGCACGGUAGCAGGGUCAUAGAGCAGGAAGCAGAGAGAUCACAUCUCCAACCACAAACACAAAGCAGAGAUUGGACUGGAAGCGAGAGUCCUCAUCUAGUGGCUGAUGGAAGCAGAGACUGACAUCCACAGAUAUAUACUGAGCUGAAAUCGGGAAUUUAGUUGAAGAGAGGGAGGAAUGAAGAGAGAAGGGAUCUGUACCAGGUUGGAGAAACCCACAGGAACAAUUGGCCUGAAAAAGGGAGAGCACAUCGACCCCAGAUGCUGUUGGGGAGGCCAGUACCAGACUGAUCCAGACCCCUGAACAUGGAUGUCAAUAAGGAGGCCUCUGCACUCCAGGGAGCCUCUGGUGGUGGUGGAUUAGUAUUUUUCCCUGGUGCAAUAAGGGACUUUGAGAGCCCAUCCCACCUGAAGGGUUACACUCUGGACCUGGACACAUGGGGAAGGGACCAGGACCAGCACAGGAAGAUUUGGUGGGCUUUUGCAGAGCCCCCCAUUGAGGGCCCUACCCUGCCUGGGGAGUGGUGUGUGGAUGGG